rnacentral:tRNA from 1 species
GGGGUUGUCACUCCAUGGUAGAGCAUCUGCUUGGCGUGCAGAAGGUCCCAGCUUCAAUCCGUGGCAUUUCUA